GUGCUCGCUUCGGCAGCACAUAUACUAAAAUUGGAAUGAUAGAGAAGAUUAGCAUGGCCCCUGUGUAAGGAUGACAUGCAAAUUCAUGAAGCGUUCCAUAUUUUU
ensembl:snRNA U6 U6 spliceosomal RNA